GCAGCCACACAUUUAAAGGAAGAUGUAGUCCUCUUUGAUUCACAGUAUCCCCCGGGAGCAAUUAUUGACAAACUCGGCAGCCCCAAGUCUACUUUACUUCCAAGGCCACAAGCAUUAUUUAUUAUUAUUUCUGGAUCAACUUAUUUCUCCCUCUCCCAAGAGGCAGUGCUAAUGAUCAUCCAUUUGCUCUCUUUUUCUUCAUGCCCAUUAUACCUUGCAGCCCCAGAGGAAAUAGUCUUGGUUUUAAAAAAGAAAAACAGCAAAAGGAUGGCUGUAGUAGAUAUUCAAUGAAGAGAUGAAGGUUCUCAAAUAAUAGAUAAAAGCCACCCCAGAACAACUGGGGCCUAGGGCAGGAAGAAUUUUGACUUCUCAAGGUGAUGAGAAUUUUAUUGUUAUUCAUGUUUUUAGACUGUAUUUGAUCCUGCUUUUACAAUUAAGUGUUUUAAAUUUGUUGUUAGCCACCCUAAGCCCGGUUUUCUGAACCGGGAAGGGUGGGGUAUAAAUAAAAAUUAUGAUGAUGAUGAUGAUGAUGAUGAUGAUGAUGAGAUAAUUCCAGUGCCAAGAAAGAAGCACCCAUUGGCAAUGGCUGGUAACAGUAGUAUCUCUUUUACAUUCUGAAGCAGCAUACAUAGUAACAGGUAAGAAAUGAGGCUCUUACCUGUUCAACUAUGGCUCUUCUCAUGUUUUCUGGACUGUGAAAACAGCUCAGUGGGCAACUUCAGGGAUUGUUCUGAGAUACAAAAUGUGAUCCUGUUUAAGGUGUCUCUUUCUAUUUUCACUCUUCUACAAAUGCCACCUUUUGUUUUAUUAAUAAACAUACUUCUUCUUUAACUAAUGGCCAAUAUAACAGAUGUUUUAAUAGUUGGAGACAGACUUCUUGUAGUGUUUACAGUCCUUUGUGGGCAAAGGAAAUAAAGGUCUACUCCAGAGAUGGGAAACCUGUGGCCCUCUGGAGACUGCUGGACCACAACUCCCAUCACCCUGACUAGGGCAGCAGAUAUAGGCUAUAGCCUGAGUCCAGUGCCAGAUUAAACCCUGUGGAGGUCCCUGGGCAGUCAAAAUCUCAGGGGCCCCUCACAAAUUAUCUCCUAUUAUGUUUUUGAUUUUACCAACCAACAAUUUUAAUAAACCAAUUUCAAGAUCAAAUCAAUAUUAUUUUGAUCUGUUGUCGCUGAGCCCCUAACAGGCAUGGCACCCAUAGGCCAGCACCUACUCUGCCUAUUUGGUAAUCCAGCACUGCCUGCACCAUGAAAAGGAAAGGGAGAGGCAAGCUAACUACCGGUAACCCUUCCUUCUUCUUAACUUCAGUGUUGUCACCAAGUAGACAUACCCACCUGUCAGGGACUGGGCAGAGGAGGAAUGGUGGAGACUGCCUCCCCUUCCUGACCCUUCCAGGGAGGAGGAAGAGAAAGACAGUAUAGAUUUACAACAGUGGUUUGCGGGAGGUCACAGCUCAGAGGCAGAUGAGGGGGAAAGUUGGGAAAUAAUGGGAGAGGAGGAGGAGGAGGAGGAGGCAGAAGGGGAACAGUGGCUGGCUGACACUGUGUCAUUAGAAAGCAUCCCGGAUCAUCCAUAUCCCAGAACCCGGUGAGCCUUGAAAGUAAGAGAGCAAAGAGCUCAAAGACAGAAGGCACAUAGCAACACCCGUAGAAGUGCCGAAUGGUGAAGUGAGAGAGACGGGGGGGUGGAGAUUCACUCAGGACAAUGCCAUUAUCCAAGAGGCUGGGUUUUAUAGCCUCUCUCUGUGAAUAUUGAAAUAAGAAAGGAUGGUAAGAAACCUUUCCUUGUCUUUAUAAUUUCCUGGGCAACCAGCCGGGAGCCGCUGACAGCAUCCGGACACCACACCACCCAUUAACAUUGGAGGGAGGGAGGUAGCAUUGUGCUCUAAAUAAAAGUUUUGGAGUUCAUACCAGAAUAGCUUAUAGGUCUCAUAUGCACUUAUCCAGGGAACUGCUCCUCUCCAGUCCUGUCCCCCUCCCCAAACCCUGUUCAUGACAGCAUAUUCAUGUAAUUGUGGAAGUGUCUUUGGGUUCCUGGAGAGAGACAUAGGGCAUCUGUGUCAGAAAUAUGGAAUGCCUUUUUGUUCUUGGUAAUAACCAGUUGUGCAUUUGUAGAAGUGGGUAGGAACCAUGCAGAACUUGUUCUGAACAUUUUAGCUGCAUACCAACCCAUGACUAGGAAUGAAACCUGCCUCUACAAGUGCCCUUUUAGCAUCCUAUGUAGCAGAGAAAGGGGAGUUGUUCAAAUAUGGCUUUCUGGCACUUAAGAUUUUCUUAAUAGCCUUGGAAUCAUGAAUUGUUUAUUGAUUAUUUUUUACAUUUUAAAUGUUUCCUUGUAUUUCUAGUUUAAAGAUUUGUAAAUGUUUUAGGUUUGCUUUAUAAUGUGCAUAGAUUUCUAAAGUAAUUUUACAGAAUUAUCCUGUAAUCACGUUUCCUGAUUUAUUUAGCAUUAAUACUUUUUAUCCUAUGGGGAAACUGCAUUUUAAUGCUCCCAUCAGUACAUUGCCAUAGGCAUACCCAUCAGUACAUAGGCAUACCCUGAAUAGAUCCAUUAAGAUCAAGGGACUGAAGUUACUUAACGUCAUUGAUUUCAAGUAGUCUACUCUACAUUGAUACAGCAGUUUAUUUUAUUUUCCCAUUGCUUCACUAACUAUUAACUGCCACAUUGUAUUGGACAUUUCAUACAACAUAACAACCGCUUCUGGAAAUAUGGUGGAAUAUAUUGCAGUUUUAACACAUAUUUUCAUGUUAUUUGCAAACAGAUUUUUUUCUGGAAGCAAAUAACACCAGAAUAGUAUACAAAAAUAGUGAAAUAGUUCUAAGCACAUGAUCUGAGUUUUUAGAGAGCAAGUUCAAUCACAUCCUAUCUUGAUGAAUUCACAUGGUGAAAGCAAGUGAAGAAGGAAGUUUCACUUCACCAGAGGUGAGGGGGUGUGACCUAACUGAGUCUAAGAAUACAAUUCUAUGGUCUUAGCCCAUUCAUGCAUUAACUAGCCCUAAGCUAGCUAGUUAUAUUUGACUGCAGUUACCCACAGGAUGCCUUCUGCCCUGGCCUAGACAUUCUGUGAAAUUACAAUGACAACUGUAGGUGAACAAUAAAAGCUUAAUUGCAAACAACCUAACUGACUCACUGCUUCUUAUUUACAGAACUACCAGCAUUAACAGAUCAAACUGCUGUGACCUCCCCUCCCACUUAGGAAGGCUCACUAUCCUGACCAAAGAUGGACUCCCUCAAAUCUAUGGGAAGACAGAAUACAACAAGUGUCACAGAGUUUAUCCUCAUGGGAUUCUCUAUUGAUGUGAAGAAUCAGAUGCUUCUCUUUGCCUUAGGACUUUCAGCCUAUCUAUUGACUUUGUCGGGGAAUCUGGCCAUCAUUGUAUUAAUUCGGGUGGACCAGAGCCUCCACACACCCAUGUACUUCCUCCUGGGAAACCUCUCUUUUAUUGAGAUCUGCUACACUUCCACCACAGUCCCCAAGAUGCUGUAGGAUCUCUUGUUGGGAGACAAGAAAAUCUCCUUUGUAGGAUGUGCACUGCAGAUGUAUUUCUUUGUCACGUUGGGGGGCACAGAGUGUGUGCUCCUCUCAGCCAUGGCAUAUGACCGCUAUGCAGCUAUCUGCCACCCAUUGCACUACACUCUGCUCAUGAGCCCACCAGUACGUAGGAGUCUGCUGGCAGUUUCAUGGGCUGUUGGCAACUUCAAUUCCAUGGUCAACACAGCAAUGGUCUUUUCCUUAAAUUUCUGCCACUCCCAUGAGAUUGACCACUUCUUCUGUGACAUACCUCCCCUUCUGCACAUCUCUUGUUCUGACACAUUUGUCAGCCAGCUCAUAACCUUCACCAUCUCUGGGUGUGUUAUCAUUAUGCCAUUCUGCCUGAC
rnacentral:lncRNA from 1 species